GUACACUCCUGCGGGAGGCAGCAGUGGGGAAUUUUGGACAAUGGGCGAAAGCCUGAUCCAGCCAUGCCGCGUGCAGGAUGAAGGCCUUCGGGUUGUAAACUGCUUUUGUACGGAACGAAACGGCCUUUUCUAAUAAAGAGGGCUAAUGACGGUACCGUAAGAAUAAGCACCGGCUAACUACGUGCCAGCAGCCGCGGUAAUACGUAGGGUGCAAGCGUUAAUCGGAAUUACUGGGCGUAAAGCGUGCGCAGGCGGUUAUGUAAGACAGUUGUGAAAUCCCCGGGCUCAACCUGGGAACUGCAUCUGUGACUGCAUAGCUAGAGUACGGUAGAGGGGGAUGGAAUUCCGCGUGUAGCAGUGAAAUGCGUAGAUAUGCGGAGGAACACCGAUGGCGAAGGCAAUCCCCUGGACCUGUACUGACGCUCAUGCACGAAAGCGUGGGGAGCAAACAGGAUUAGAAACCCGAGUAGUCCCAUGA
rnacentral:rRNA from 1 species